UACGUAGGGGGUAAGCGUUGUCCGGAUUUAUUGGGCGUAAAGAGCGUGUAGGCGGCCAGGUAGGUCCGUUGUGAAAACUGGAGGCUUAACCUCCAGCUGUCGAUGGAAACCAUCUGGCUAGAGUCCGGAAGAGGAGAGUGGAAUUCCUGGUGUAGCGGUGAAAUGCGCAGAUAUCAGGAAGAACACCCGUGGCGAAGGCGGCUCUCUGGGACGGUACUGACGCUGAGACGCGAAAGCGUGGGGAGCGAACAGG
rnacentral:rRNA from 1 species